rnacentral:tRNA from 1 species
GGGGCCGUCGUCUAGCUUGGAUUAGGAUACAUGCUUGGGGUGCAUGCGAUCCUGGGUUCGAAUCCCAGCGGCCUCACCA